GGAUGAACGCUGGCGGCGUGCUUAACACAUGCAAGUCGAACGAAGCACUUUAUUUGAUUUCCUUCGGGACUGAUUAUUUUGUGACUGAGUGGCGGACGGGUGAGUAACGCGUGGGUAACCUGCCUUGUACAGGGGGAUAACAGUUGGAAACGGCUGCUAAUACCGCAUAAGCGCACAGCAUCGCAUGAUGCAGUGUGAAAAACUCCGGUGGUAUAAGAUGGACCCGCGUUGGAUUAGCUAGUUGGUGAGGUAACGGCCCACCAAGGCGACGAUCCAUAGCCGACCUGAGAGUGUGACCGGCCACAUUGGGACUGAGACACGGCCCAAACUCCUACGGGAGGCAGCAGUGGGGAAUAUUGCACAAUGGGCGAAAGCCUGAUGCAGCGACGCCGCGUGAGCGAAGAAGUAUUUCGGUAUGUAAAGCUCUAUCAGCAGGGAAGAUAAUGACGGUACCUGACUAAGAAGCACCGGCUAAAUACGUG
rnacentral:rRNA from 1 species